rnacentral:misc_RNA from 1 species
AAGUCGUAACAAGGUUUCCGUAGGUGAACCUGCGGAAGGAUCAUUAUCACGUUGCAAAACACUUAUCAACCUUUGUGCACUCGGUUCCUUCAGAGCAAUUUUUGGGUUUUGGGUGGCUUGGUUGUUUGUUGAUUUGGUCUUUCGAAAGAAAGAGAACACCAGCCAUCUAUGGUUAAUUCCAGCCCUGUUCUGAAGAGCUGUUUUUUGCGGUACCACAUCAGCCGCGUCUUGUUUCACCUUUUUUCCUUUUUAAACCCCUGUACGAUUUAUGAACUGAUUUGGUUCUUUGCUGAUCUUUUGGUCGGUAAAGAAUUCACUUAAAAAACAUCAAAACAACUCUUAACAACGGAUAUCUUGGUUCCC